UGGAAAACAUCUCCCACCUCUGUUCCCAGAUGGCAGUAAGAGCCACUCCAACUCACUCUAGGAAGGCAUGCCCCAAACGCUGAGUUCUACCAGUAUGUUUACCCCAUGUGGCUUCAGCCCUCAUCUACAUACUUCAAAAGAAGAUGAACAAGGAGGACUGAUCUUCCAGGAUGGAAACCUUACCUCAGCAUCUCUUGAUGCUCUAAUCCAACAUCUGAUACCUACCACUGAUUACUACCCUGAAAAAGCCUAUAUCUUUACAUUUCUGCUGAGCUCCAGACUCUUCAUCGAACCCCAUGAGCUUUUGUCCCGAGUUUGUCACAAGUGCAUUGAGCAGCAACGGCUGGAUGACCCUGUAUUGGACAAGGCUCGCAUCAGAAAGUUUGGACCCAAAAUCUUACAGCUGCUGACAGAGUGGACGGAGACAUUCCCAUAUGACUUUCAGGAAGAGCGGAUGAUUGGCCAUCUGAAAGACAUGAUUCACAGGAUAGCCCCGUGUGAUGAGGCCUACUGGAAAAAGAUGAAUCAGCUUUUGCAAACCCUGAAUCAGAAGCUUGCAGCCCUCAGCCAUGGGCAAGAAGGGAUCGUCAAGAUCAGUGCUGCUGUCUCUGAUAAGCUGGUGGCCUUUAAAAGUAAACCUCCAUCAAUUCAGAGAGAAAUCCUGAGUGUCUGCAGUGACCCUUACACUCUGGCUCAGCAGCUGACACAUGUGGAGCUGGAAAGGCUAAGUCACAUUGGACCUGAGGAGUUUGUGCAGGCAUUUGUACAUAAAGACCCUCUGGAUGGCACCAAGACUUGUUUCAGUGAACAAAAGAAGACCACUAACCUUGAGGCCUAUGUGAAAUGGUUCAAUAGACUCUGCUAUCUUGUAGCAACAGAAAUUUGCAUGCCUGCAAAAAAGAAACAGCGAGCACAAGUCAUCGAAUUCUUCAUUGACGUUGCCCGAGAGUGCUUUAACAUUGGCAAUUUUAAUUCACUGAUGGCAAUAAUUUCUGGAAUGAACAUGAGUCCAGUUUCCAGGCUAAAGAAGACUUGGUCAAAAGUGAAAACAGCCAAAUUUUUCAUUCUUGAGCACCAGAUGGACCCUACUGGUAACUUCUAUAACUACAGAACAGCAUUGCGGGGGGCUGCUCACAGAUCCCUCACCGCACACAGCAACAGGGAGAAGAUUGUGAUCCCUUUCUUCAGCCUGUUGAUCAAAGACAUUUAUUUUUUGAAUGAAGGAUGUGCUAAUCGCCUCCCAAAUGGACAUGUCAACUUUGAAAAAUUUCUGGAACUGGCUAAGCAAGUAGGAGAAUUUAUAACAUGGAAGCAAGUGGAAUGUCCCUUUGAACAAGACCCAAACAUCAUCCACUACUUGCAUACUGCUCCCAUUUUUACUGAAGAUGGUUUGUAUCUGGCUUCUUAUGAAAGCGAAAGUCCGGAAAACCAGACAGAAAAAGACAGGUGGAAAUCCUUAAGAUCCACUAUUUUAGGAAAGACUUGAAGAUUACAAGAUUACUGCAGUAGGUCAAAGAAAAGAAAUCCGCAAACAUUUUGCACUACUGAUUCCAAAGAUGCCUGUUUGGGAUUUAGACUUUGUUUGUUUGUUUGAGUAUUUUGUUGGGUUUUUUGACUGCCUAACACAAUGGGUGAACUGGAUUCAUCCACUGCAAUCAACAGAACUGUGUGCACAGUUGAAAGACGCUUUUCGAACUAGGAGACAUAGAAGAGGAAGGACAAACAGACUGAUUUGUGGCUGUGCCCAAACUGCAUCAGGAUCACUGUAAUUUUUGCCUCCGAAGGAAAACAUAAGAAAGUUGGGAGCACGGAGAACUGUGGUACUGCAAAGAGAAUGGAAAAGUAUAGGGGGGAAAAAAAAGGGGAAAGAAAAAGUACACAUGAAUAUUUCAGAAGCAGGUGCUUCAGACAGCAGCUCUUUAAACCCUCUGAGACUGUAAAAUUAAAUUGAACAGACACAGCAGCAAUCUGGUUAAUUGCUGAACGAAGAAAGAAUUUAAUCUUACAUUAGCAGUCCCCUGGCCUUGUUGAACAAAGCACUGACUGCUACAGGGAUAAGCUUCCAGCGGAUGAAAGCUGACAGCGCUCACUCGUACCUACGCGUGUACGUCACCUACAGACCACAGCAGCAUGGGACAAUCAUACACACCCCAUGAAUUUUUACAGAGAACAAUCCUGAAGUGUGACUGUUGCUUAGCUAUUCUUCCCACCCCUGUCAUCGCUCUUCUUACUGUGAAUCUGGGCAGAUCUGGGAGGGCACAGAGUGCUACAGAUGGUGUGGCCUAACGACACCGCCUCUCCCCCCAUCUCAAGUUGAACUUAAGAAGCAAAUGACUCUGGACUCAACACACCUCUAUUUAAUCUAUGUAGUGUAUUCCCUAGUUUUGUGGAUGCUGAGUUGCAUCUUUUAGAGGGUUUUAUCACACUUAAAAAUAUACUGCAUUGUCAUUUGAGAAAACAAAUAUUACCAAGUUCCAGUUAAUACAGUAAAGUUUAUUUUGCAACAUCAUACUAAGAUGAUAGGAAAGGAGUGGGGGGAUAAUUGUUCUGAAUCUGGGAACUCCAUGAUGUGCUUUAAAAAGAUAAAGGGUUUCAGACUAGAAUGAACACACUGAGGAAUUUGUCAUUCAUAAGCAGCAUGGCAGCAGAGCAGAACAAGAUACCUAUGCAUAGCUUCCUAGUAACGUGAGUGGCAACAGGAGGGAGUGCAGUGGAAUACUGGUGCCAAGAGCCAUACCAAUACUUGUUUUAAUGCUGGGUAUGUUGGAAAGUAAAUCACACUGCCUUAGAGCGUGUCCCUGUCCUCGCAACCCCUGUCAGCUGCUCUGCAGAACAGCUGAGCAGAGGAGGCUGUGAAAAUGUGACCCUUUUUUGAUGGAACAGAUCUGGAGGCUAUUAUGGGUUGUGUUACUUUCUUUUACAGUGCUUUUUGCAUAUUUGGGGGGAAAAAAAGGUACAUAAAGUAUAUAAAUAUAUAAAACAACUUUUUGUAUGUUUGCAGAAAAUACAGGACACAUGAGGCAUCCUACCUGCAUUUAUUUGUUCAUUAUACCAGACAUAGAUGAGAAGCUGAUAGCUUGAAUGGGUGGUAUUUCAUACACUCAGCAUGGGUGCACGUCUUUGAAACUCAGGCUAUAACCUCAGCUACAGGAAAAAAAGCUAAGUAUGAGUAACUCCUGUCUAGAUCCUUGCCUUGUACUGUGGCCAGAUGCAGACUGUAAUGCUGUAAAUUCAGAGUGGCUUAGACUGCUCACUCUCCCUUUGCUGCCUUUCCCUCCACAGAAGCAGUAUUCUGCCAUCCAGAAACAGCUCCUGCAAAAUGCCAUAGGAACAUUUUUCUAGUUUUCUGCCAUCCAAGGGCUUGAUAGUCGUACUCUAGAGCUGUCAUCAGAGAGCAGGAGCCCUCCUCCCUUCAUCCCUGGGGCUCUAAAACUGCCAACCUAGACUAAGGCUGCAGUACAGCAAUGUCCCCAGGUCUUCUUGAAUGUGGAAGAUGUAGAGUUCAGAGUUCACAAGUCCUAUAAGUCAAAUGCCUGCUCAGGAAACUCCCUUUUAAAAUGUGCAAAGCCCAUUUAAUGGAGUUCUGACUAGAGAAUUCCACACUCCAGCUACCUUUCAGAGAAAUGUGACUUUCUCAGUGAACUGUUUCUGGUCAUUUCCAUGUCACUGCUUCCAUUAUUUAAUUAUGUUUCUAAAAUUCCAGUCUUUUUGAAACAACAAAGCAUAUGAUGGUUUCUUGGUGUUUGGCCAACGGCUAAACAGAGUUAAGAAAAUGGGGGCUGUAGUCUGGACAGCUCAUGUCAUAUGUAUUUCCAUAACAGCCCAAGUUGGGUUAUCACUUACAGUCUGUCCUCGCCUUGUACUAGAAAGAAUUGUUCCAAUAGAAUUCUCCUAAUUAUUAAAAGUUAGUGAAAGAUCCACACACAGAGCUAUUAAAUUUGCCUGUUUUGAGAUACAAGUCAUGCAAAUGUAGAAGUACUUCCCUUAGGAGUUUGUAAAAGGAGCAUUGCUAGUAUGCAGCACAGACGGAAAACAGAUUAUCCCUUGGGUUUCAGAACUCCUAGCAGGUGUUCAUAGUUUAUAAAUGUAAGAAGUCUGAUUUAAAGAUUUUUAUUUCACUUUUGGUGGCAGCACUCGCUGUCUUAAACCUAAACUCUGAGAUCAUACUCUUGUAAAACAUUUAGUCCCGGACCUAAAAGCCUAGAGUAGGAAUGGGUAAGCAGAACUGUCUGUAUUUUUAGACUGAGAAAUUAAAAGGCUGAGUGACAUGUCCAAGGUCACCUGGCAAGCACAUUCUUUCAAACCAUUGCCCCAUAAAGAGAUCCAAAUUGUAGUUCUGCAUUUCUUCUGGGGUAACUCCUUUUUACAGCUGUGCUUAGAAAAGUGCAACUGAACUAUCCUUUCAGUUUUUAAAAAUAAUGAAGCUAGGAAAUCAAUCUGGAUUAAAAGGCUGGUAUACACCAAUCUAGUGAGCGGUAGUAAUGAGGAGCUGUGCUUUUCCUGUGUCUUUAGAUGAAGCAAUUUCAUGUUAUGAUGAGCAUUUUCAGGUCAAACUGAAAUCCUGCAACCAUCCAUAGUACUCAAACCGGGGAGCUUUGUUAGAAGUCCUCAGAACAGAUACCGACACUGUACGAGUUGCACGGGCAGGAAAUAGUAAGGUUACUUGAAAGUGGCUGUUAUGAUUUUGUGACUGUACAUAGAUCUUGCAAAAUGUUAAUGGUAAUAAUGCCUACUGUACCCCCCACGAACACUGCAAGGAUAGCAUGGUCAUUGUUAUGCUUUAUAGCUGUUGUGGAAAACGUCUUAACCUGCAUUCAUGAUUAUAGUGCCCAUCCUAUUCCCUCGCCUUUUUAUACAGUUGUGGUAAGAUUGUUAUGAGAUCCUUUUGUCAGUCAUGUUCAAGCUAACUUACCUAUGUAUAGAAUUUAUAUAUUAAACCCCCUCUAAUUUAUACUGUGUUUUAACAGU